rnacentral:rRNA from 1 species
UACGAAGGGGGCUAGCGUUGCUCGGAAUCACUGGGCGUAAAGCGCACGUAGGCGGAUUGCUAAGUCAGGGGUGAAAUCCUGGAGCUCAACUCCAGAACUGCCUUUGAUACUGGCGAUCUCGAGUCCGGGAGAGGUGAGUGGAACUGCGAGUGUAGAGGUGAAAUUCGUAGAUAUUCGCAAGAACACCAGUGGCGAAGGCGGCUCACUGGCCAGAUACUGACGCUGAGGCACGAAAGCGUGGGGAGCAAACAGG